AUGCACGCACACACACACACACACACACACACACACACACACACACACACACACACACACACACACACACACACACACACACACACACACACGCGCGCAUACAGACCUGAAUCCACCACGGCUUGCUAUCUGUGCUUCUCACCCAACUGCCUGCUUCGCUGUUGCCUCGUUAUCUCAAUCAGAUGCACUUUCUUUGUUGCUCGGCCAUUGAAACCAGGGAUUCUAUCAAAAGCACCGAUCUUUUUUUUCAUUAAGGUGGGUUCUUUUUGCGUGACGGGUGGCAGGCUGCGGCAUAUGCUCCGCAGGCAGGCCGCUGUGACAGAGGGUCCGCACCACGCUCCUCUCAGUGUCCCUCCACAGUGACCCGCCAGGCUGAGGCCGGAAUACCCCAGGUUGGCGAGAGCACAGCAGGAGGCAGAUUACCGAGGGAUUACAAAUGCUCAGACACACCAACGUGCGCCCACGCAUGCACUCACUAUCGAUGUCCAGUGCAUGGUGGGAAUCGGAUCCCCCUAUACUGUGAACGGGCCUUUGCGUCUGAACUGUCUGGUUGAACGACUGAUUGACUGACUGGCCGAAAUCCUCAUUGGUCUUCGAGGAGGAGGGGAGCCCACAGCCAGCUGUUAGUGAUUGAAGUGUAUUUAACUCAAUAAUACCCAUCACCACCAACACCCCCACCGCCACUAGGCUGAAUGAGCACGGAGGUUUUGAAACUUAACUGAGAGAAGGAGACAGAGACUGUGAGAGUUCAAAGAGAGCGAGAGAUCAAAAGGAAAGCCUUGGAUCAAGAAAAAAGUAGAACCACUGUCUGUGGUACCACGGCACGUUUACACGUGUAUCCGUGGGAUCCCGGCGCGCGAGAGGUCUGUUGUUGCCAUGGAGACCGCUGGCCUGUGCCCCGGUAAGGAGCCACUAUCGUCUCUGUGGUGUUAUUACAACUUUUAGUGUAGGCGCCUGCUAUCUGCUGUGUCAGGUAGUUUAAGAAAUCCAAAGCACCAGUGUAUAACUAGCCUGAACACGGAGGCGUUGGUACAGCAUCAAGAAAAACAAUGUUACCCUUGAGACACGGGACCAACUACCUGAACCCACACCGUGGGACUUUUAUUGUUAAAGGUCCACCCGCAGCACCAUUGACGGAACCAAAUGUUUGAUUUCUGCCCUACUGGUUUUAUUUAUUUUGAUCCGUUCUGAUCAUCCUGAGCAGCGAGAUACGCUUUUCAUCGAGGUUCACUCGAGAGGAUGUUGACAAUGUAAUCCCAGGAAAUCCCAGUGUUUUACUGACUUUAUGGAAUUAAAACAGGGUUAAGCUGGGAGGACACACAUGGCCUACUAAAACAUGGCAGUCGGGGAAUGAGUGCAGCAGAACCAAUAGAUGUAGAUAAGAAUUUCUCUCUUGCCUCCGGAGCACGGUUAAAAGUUAGCUGUAUCCGGCUUUACUAAAAGCACUUUUUAUUGUAAAACUGUAUUUCCUGUGGAAAGCUCCUCUCUGAUGUCCCCCCUGGGACCUUACCCUGGGGAGAGAAGGACCUCGGUACAAUGCGCGACGGCAACACCAAGUCUGCUCCGUUCUUUUAUAUGAUCACAUUGAACCUGAAGUCGAGCAGCAGAUCGCCCAACCCACC
ensembl:lncRNA